AAUGUGACAGAAACGACACCUGAUUCCGAUAUUGAAGAUGAACUCAAAGACUUGAAGGAUGAUGAUGACGAC
rnacentral:ribozyme from 13 species